rnacentral:lncRNA from 10 species
GGGAUAUAGUCUCGUGGUGAGCCGUUUCUUAAGCCGGUCUGAAAAGCGCAAUAUUCGGGUGGGAGUGACCCGAUUUUCCAGGUGCGUCCGUCACCCCUUUCUUUGACUCGGAAAGGGAACUCCCUGACCCCUUGCGCUUCCCAGGUGAGGCAAUGCCUCGCCCUGCUUCGGCUCGCGCACGGUGCGCACACACACAGGCCUGCGCCCACUGUCUGGCACUCCCUAGUGAGAUGAACCCGGUACCUCAGAUGGAAAUGCAGAAAUCACCCGUCUUCUGUGUCGCUCACGCUGGGAGCUGUAGACCGGAGCUGUUCCUAUUCGGCCAUCUUGGCUCCUCCUCUGUACCAGGAAACACCUUAGUGUCAUAUUUCUGCAUUAAUCAUGGAAUCUAUUUUCAUUUAAAACCCCAAACAGAAGGAAACAGGGAUUAAUUGUGUCUGCCCAGUAUGGCAUGAAGGUUUCAUCACCUGUGGUAACUCCAGUUGAUUGAAGGUGGUUACAUGAAGAGAUAUGUUGGAACAAAUUGUGAGACACUGUUAGGGCUCUGCUGGCAAGUGUGGUUACCUAUGAGUAAUGACUACUAUGGGUGCUGAAGGUGUGAGGGAAGGUGCAAGUGCUUAGGUAUUUGCUGUCUAUAUCUUAAGUCUUCGGCAUAUAAUUACCACGUGUCCUUGGGAAGAAGGGAGGUCUCAAAAUCAUCCCUGGAUAAUUUCUUUGGUUUUUCGCCUCUUUCCAUCAUUUAGUCUUUCUUUAUCCCUUUCUGAUAUCUACUGUACAUUUAAUUAAGCUUAGCAGUAUAGAGAUAGAAAACAGGCUGCAAAUAUUAUCCCCAUACCUAACCAAGACUCUCAUUUAAAUCACUGGCAAUGUAAUUCUUGCUUGCCCCACACCAUUGAUUUGCAUAUUUUGGUGGGUAAAACAAUCACCUGAGGACAUGGUUUCAAAUAUAAGCUCUGGCUUUUACUCCCAAGAGAUUCAGAUUAGAAAUAGAUGCAUUUGAUCUGUAUCUUAACUGAGAUACAUUUGAUCAGUUUCAACUGAGAUACAUUUUGAAACUGAUCUGCAUUUAAAAGGCACUCUGAGUAUCUGUGAGGCAGAAGACUUUGGACCAUAAUUUGAGCAACACUACCCUAAACUCAGAUAAAUUGCUCUUUUUACCCAGGAGCUGGGACAGGAUUUAAUAUGAGCCACAGCGUCAGUCCUUCUGUCUACCUCCAGGGGAACUAGUACUCUUUUUUUUUU